rnacentral:rRNA from 1 species
AGUGAACGCUGGCGGUAGGCCUAACACAUGCAAGUCGAACGGCAGCACAGGAGAGCUUGCUCUCUGGGUGGCGGGUGGCGGACGGGUGAGGAAUACAUCGGAAUCUACUCUGUCGUGGGGGAUAACGUAGGGAAACUUACGCUAAUACCGCAUACGACCUACGGGUGAAAGCAGGGGACCUUCGGGCCUUGCGCGAUUGAAUGAGCCGAUGUCGGAUUAGCUAGUUGGCGGAGUAAAGGCCCACCAAGGCGACGAUCCGUAGCUGGUCUGAGAGGAUGAUCAGCCACACUGGAACUGAGACACGGUCCAGACUCCUACGGGAGGCAGCAGUGGGGAAUAUUGGACAAUGGGCGCAAGCCUGAUCCAGCCAUACCGCGUGGGUGAAGAAGGCCUUCGGGUUGUAAAGCCCUUUUGUUGGGAAAGAAAUCCAGCUGGCUAAUACCCGGUUGGGACGACGGUACCCAAAGAAUAAGCACCGGCUAACUUCGUGCAGCAGCCGCGGUAA